CAGCAGCCGCGGGAACACGUAGGUGGCAAGCGUUGUCCGGAUUUACUGGGCGUAAAGCGAACGCAGGCGGACUGUUAAGUAGGAAGUGAAAGGUCGGAGCUCAACUCCAACAUUGCUUCCUAUACUGGCAGUCUUGAGUAGCGGAGAGGAAGGGGGAACGACACGUGUAGCGGUGAAAUGCGUUGAUAUGUGUCGGAACACCCAUGGCGAAAGCACCCUUCUGGACGCAAACUGACGCUCAGGUUCGAAAGCCAAGGUAGCGAACAGGAUUAGAUACCCCCGUAGUCCCUGUCUCUUAUAC
rnacentral:rRNA from 1 species